CUUACGCGGGCCAACUUCACUUCUCAUGGAAUUCUCUCCAGGGUUUUCGAUAUUUAAAGCUGUGCCAGUGAUUUAAUGCUUUUUGUUUCAACCCGAAAUUAAUAUUCCCCAAAAAAUUAGCCGAAGCAGUACACUGGAGACUACGACGGACUCGGGCCCGAAGUUGCGCCGCCGCUGUGAAUUCGGUAAGUUUCAGCAGAUUCAAGGAACCGGUUGGAGUACGGCUUGCCACAGCUGAAGUGGGUUCCUACCUUAGGAAUGAAGAAGGUUUUGAUCUAAGACGGCGAUACAGGGUGUUGAAAGGCAAAUCUGUUGGAGUUAUUAACUAAACACGGAAAUCAUCAUAGCCAGCCUCACCUAGAUUCACGACCAAAAGGUUUUGCAAUAGAACACAAUCAAUCCAGGAAUUUUCUUGCUGAAGACGAAGUUUUAUAUCAAAUGUAUGAGAGAGCGCACACAAGAGAAUCUGGAAUCUUAACUGGUUUCUUGACAGGGCACUGGAGAUCAAAUAGGUAUCUGAGAAAAAAAAGUUUUCUGCCAAUCUGUUUCUGUAGAUUCUGCAAAGAUUCAAAGACAUUUGCUGACAGACUGCGGUGCUAUACUUCUCCGCAGAAAGGAGUCCUACGGUACUUACAACACUAUCAUGGAAGAUUCUUAAUGACAAAAUAAAUAGUAUAGCUCGAAAAAAAUUUGAAUAUCAAGAAAGUAUACUAACGUUGAACCGGUACUGGGUCACUUACUACACUUGAGGGUUUUGGAUGUUACUCAACCGCGUUUCUGCUGUGCGCCAUCUUCAGUGAGGAACUGCUUAAGUGUCCCACUUAACACGUGUUCACCAACUCACAGAGCAACACCUACAAUUAACUUGAAGUCUGCAAACAUUUCAUUCCACUUAAAGUAGCAAAAAAGUCACAACCAAUGCCAAGAUCUGAGAAAAGAGGGUUGGUUUCAGUUAAUACAAAUUUUCUCACCAUCGCACUUCCCACGAAACGUGGUUAAAUUGUAAAAUGGUUUGUUUGUUCCUGAACAAUAAUUGCUGUUGACAAUAUCGUGUUCACGGGGUAUAUUUCAAAGGUCUAAGGGUGUUACCGGUCAUUAGCCCCAUAUUUAAAGGACAAUAUUGUCGGGAGGUAAUGCCGUUACGCCCCGCGAUUAAUAAUAGGACAACUGUCACAGCGGUUAAAUUAGUUUAGCGCCGUGAAAAGGAAAAAAAUCUGCUUCACAUGUGCUAGAUUAAUUUUUUUCAGUAGACGAGACAACAUUUUUUGCCUCGAUAAAAUACGUUACAUGCCCUGUCUGUAAAUGAAAAUAGCUAUUAUUCGUGAUACACAGGUCAAUGUAU